UACGUAGGGUGCGAGCGUUAAUCGGAAUUACUGGGCGUAAAGGGUGCGUAGGUGGUGGGGUAAGUCGGAUGUGAAAUCCCGGGGCUCAACCCCGGAACUGCAUUCGAUACUGCCUUGCUCGAGUACUGGAGAGGAGACUGGAAUUUACGGUGUAGCAGUGAAAUGCGUAGAUAUCGUAAGGAAGACCAGUGGCGAAGGCGAGUCUCUGGACAGUUACUGACACUGAGGCACGAAGGCCAGGGGAGCAAACGGG
rnacentral:rRNA from 1 species